rnacentral:rRNA from 1 species
CCUACGGGGGGCAGCAGUGGGGAAUAUUGCGCAAUGUGCGAAAGCCUGACGCAGCGACGCCGCGUGAGGGAUGAAGGUCUUCGGAUCGUAAACCUCUGUCAGCAGGGAAGAACGGUCCCUGUGCUAAUCAGCAGUGAAUUGACGGUACCUGCAAAGGAAGCACCGGCUAACUCCGUGCCAGCAGCCGCGGUAAUACGGAGGGUGCGAGCGUUAAUCGGAAUUACUGGGCGUAAAGCGCUCGUAGGCGGUAUGUCAAGUCAGGGGUGAAAUCGCCGGGCUCAACGUGGGAACGGCCUUGGAAACUGGCAAACUGGAGUGUGUGAGAGGAUAGUGGAAUUCCAGGUGUAGCAGUGAAAUCCGUAGAUAUUUGGAGGAACAUCAGUGGCGAAGGCGACUAUCUGGAACAUAACUGACGCUGAGGAGCGAAAGCGUGGGUAGCAAACAGGAUUAGAUACCCUUGUAGUC